rnacentral:rRNA from 1 species
GGGGAAUAUUGCACAAUGGGCGAAAGCCUGAUGCAGCAACGCCGCGUGAGUGAUGACGGUCUUCGGAUUGUAAAGCACUUUCGACGGGGACGAUGAUGACGGUACCCGUAGAAGAAGCCCCGGCUAACUUCGUGCCAGCAGCCGCGGUAAUACGAAGGGGGCUAGCGUUGCUCGGAAUGACUGGGCGUAAAGGGCGUGUAGGCGGUUUUGACAGUCAGAUGUGAAAUCCCCGGGCUUAACCUGGGAGCUGCAUUUGAGACGUCAAGACUAGAGUGUGAGAGAGGGUUGUGGAAUUCCCAGUGUAGAGGUGAAAUUCGUAGAUAUUGGGAAGAACACCGGUGGCGAAGGCGGCAACCUGGCUCAUUACUGACGCUGAGGCGCGAAAGCGUGGGGAGCAAAC